GUCAGGUCCCCCUGAGCCUGGCCCGCCUUGCUCCCUUGACUAGCAAAUAGGCCUCCACCCCUGCUGAGCCAGGCAGCGCUGUGCUGUGUCUCUCCAGUCCCCGGUGACCCCAGGGGAGUUGCUCUGCGCUCAGGACUCCUCGCCCAUCAGGGCCUCCAGGCAAGGCCUGCAGCGGAGGAAGGGAGGGUUCGGCUUGGAGCUGUCCGGAGUGUCUGGCCUGCAGCGGCCUGAACUCAGCCGCGGGGUCCCGGGAGGCGACAUGAGUUCGGUGACCUAUGACGAUGUGGAUGUGACCUUCACCCGGGAAGAGUGGGCUCUGCUGGAUCCUUCCCAGAGGAGUCUCUACCAAGACGUGAUGCUGGACACCUGCCAGCACCUCACAGCCAUAGGCUACAAAUGGGAAGACCAUAAUAUUGAAGAACAGUGUCAACGUUCUAG